ensembl:lncRNA
CCCCAUUUAAGCGAAAAUCACGCGUUUUCAAUUUGCAAAUCCCCCAUUUAAGCAAAAAUCACGCGUUUUCUCUUCGCAAAUCCCCCAUUACACCAGAAAAUCAUGCGUUUUCUCUUCGGAAAUCCCCCAUUUAAGCGAAAAUCACGCGUUUUCUCAAAUCCCCCAUUUAAGCGAAAGUCACGCGUUUUCUCUUUGCAAAUCCCCCAUUUAACCAGAAAACCAAGCAUUUUCUCUUCAAGAAUCCCCCAUUUAACCCGAAAAUCAUGUGUUUUCUCAAAUCCCCCAUUUAAGCGAAAAUCACGCGUUUUCUCUUCGAGAAUCCCCCAUUUAACACAAAAAAACACGCGUUUUCUCUACAGAAAUCCCACAUUUAAGCGAAAAUCACACAUUUUCCCUUCGCAAAACCCCCAUUUAAGUGAAAAUCUCGCGUUUUCCCUUUGAGAAUCGUCAAUUUCAGAGAAAAUCAAGCGUUUUCUCUUUGAGAAUCCCCCACUUAAGUGAAGAUCACGCGUUUUCAAUUUGCAAAAAUCCCCCAUUUAAGCGAAAAUCACGCGUUUUCUCUUCGGAAAUCCCCCAUUUAACUUGAAAAUCACGCGUUUUCUCUUCGCAAAUCCCCCAUUUAAGCGAAAAUCACGCGUUUUCUCUUCGAGAAUCCAACAUUUAACGAAAAUCACGCGUUUUCUCUUCGCAAAUCCCCCAUUUAACUUGAAAAUCACGUUUUCUCUUCGAGAAUCCAACAUUUAAGCGAAAAUCACGCGUUUUCUCUUCGAGAAACCAACAUUUAACGAAAAUCAAGCGUUUUCUCAAAUCCCCCAUUUAAGCGAAAAUCACACGUUUUCUCUUCGGAAAUCCCCCAUUUAACUUGAAAAUCACGUGUUUUCUCUACACAAAUCCCCCAUUUAUGCGAAAAACACGCGUUUUCUUUUCACAAAUCACACAUUUAUGCGAAAAUCACGUUUUCUCUUUGAGAAUCCUCCAUUUAACAUGUAAAUGACACGUUUUCUCUAUGCAAGUCCCCCAUUUAAGCGAAAAUCACACGUUUUCAAUUUGCAAAUCCCCCAUUUAAGUGAAAAUCACGCGUUUUCUCUUCGCAAAUCCCCCAUUACACCAGAAAAUCAUGCGUUUUCUCUUCGGAAAUCCCCCAUUUAAGCGAAAAUCACGCGUUUUCUCUCCGAGAAUCCAACAUUUAAGCGAAAAUCACGCGUUUUCUCAAAUCCCCCAUUUAAGCGAAAGUCACACGUUUUCUCUUUGCAAAUCCCCCAUUUAACCAGAAAUCACACAUUUUCUCUUCAAGAAUCCCCCAUUUAACCCGAAAAUCAUGUGUUUUCUCAAAUCCCCCAUUUAAGCGAAAAUCACGCGUUUUCUCUUCGAGAAUCCCCCAUUUAACCAAAA